GAAAAAUAUUCAUAACAUUUGAAAGAUCAAUGGGAGGGAUUCAUAGAGAAAACCACUAAUUCUAGAAUUAGACAGAAGAAUAACACAAGUAGGAAAACUUGAAAUUCCAUCCCCAAUUCAUCAAAUUUGUCAACUGAUUUUAACAACCAUAUUUAGCUUUAUAAUUGUAAUAACACAAGUCUCGGAGUCGUGCUGCCUGCUUUCUUCUUUUUUUUUUUUUU
rnacentral:misc_RNA from 1 species